GGCUGGUUAGCUCAGCUGGUUAGAGUGUGGUGUUGAUACCACCAAGGUCCAGGAUUCAAUCCCUGGACCAGCCC